rnacentral:rRNA from 1 species
GACGAACGCUGGCGGCGUGCUUAACACAUGCAAGUCGAACGGACAGGCCCUGCUGUUGUGGGGUGCUCGGGUGGCGAACGGGUGAGACACACGCGCGUAACCUGACUAUGACUUUGGGAUUACUGCAGGUACCUGGUGCUCCUAUUGGAUAGGAGCUUCUGCUGCGUGGUGGGGGCUGGAAAGUUUCGGCGGGUGGGGAUGGACUCGCGGCUUCUCAGCUUGUUGGUGGGGUCGUGGCUUACCAAGGCUUUGACGGGUCGCCGGCCUGAGCGGGUGACCGGCCACAUUGGAACGGGGAUACGGCCCGGACUAGUACGGGAGGCAGGAGUGGAGAGGAGUGCACAAUGGGCUGAAGGCUGAUGCAGCAACGCCGCGGGCGGGAAGACGUCCUGCGGUUUGGGAACCACUUUCGCCUGUGACGAGGCGAUAGUGACGGUAAUGGGUAAAGAAGCACCGGCUAACUACGUG